AUUGAACGCUGGCGGCAAGCCUAACACAUGCAAGUCGAACGAGUGGCGGACGGGUGAGUAAUGUCUGGGAAACUGCCCGAUGGAGGGGGAUAACUACUGGAAACGGUAGCUAAUACCGCAUACCAUCGGAUGUGCCCAGAUGGGGUGAGCUAGUAGGUGGGGUAAAGGCUCACCUAGGCGACGAUCCCUAGCCGGUCUGAGAGGGUGACCAACAACCGUGGGACGGAGACACGGGCCAGACUCCUACCGGAGACAGAAGUGGGGAAUAGUGCGCAAUGGGCGCAAGCCUAAUGCAGCCAGGCGGCGUGUAUGAAGAAGGCCGUCGAGUUGUAAAGUACUUUCAGCGGUGGGGCGUUACCCGCAGAGGAAGCACCGGCUGACUCCGUGCCAGCAGCCGCGGUAAUAC
rnacentral:rRNA from 1 species